rnacentral:rRNA from 1 species
CUAAUACAUGCAAGUCGAGCGGACCGACGGGAGCUUGCUCCCUUAGGUCAGCGGCGGACGGGUGAGUAACACGUGGGUAACCUGCCUGUAAGACUGGGAUAACUCCGGGAAACCGGGGCUAAUACCGGAUGCUUGAUUGAACCGCAUGGUUCAAUCAUAAAAGGUGGCUUUUAGCUACCACUUGCAGAUGGACCCGCGGCGCAUUAGCUAGUUGGUGAGGUAACGGCUCACCAAGGCGACGAUGCGUAGCCGACCUGAGAGGGUGAUCGGCCACACUGGGACUGAGACACGGCCCAGACUCCUACGGGAGGCAGCAGUAGGGAAUCUUCCGCAAUGGACGAAAGUCUGACGGAGCAACGCCGCGUGAGUGAUGAAGGUUUUCGGAUCGUAAAACUCUGUUGUUAGGGAAGAACAAGUACCGUUCGAAUAGGGCGGUACCUUGACGGUACCUAACCAGAAAGCCACGGCUAACUACGUGCCAGCAGCCGCGGUAAUACGUAGGUGGCAAGCGUUGUCCGGAAUUAUUGGGCGUAAAGCGCGCGCAGGCGGUUUCUUAAGUCUGAUGUGAAAGCCCCCGGCUCAACCGGGGAGGGUCAUUGGAAACUGGGGAACUUGAGUGCAGAAGAGGAGAGUGGAAUUCCACGUGUAGCGGUGAAAUGCGUAGAGAUGUGGAGGAACACCAGUGGCGAAGGCGACUCUCUGGUCUGUAACUGACGCUGAGGCGCG